AGUUUGACUGGGGCGGUCUCCUCCUAAAGAGUAACGGAGGAGCACGAAGGUUGGCUAAUCCUGGUCGGACAUCAGGAGGUUAGUGCAAUGGCAUAAGCCAGCUUGACUGCGAGCGUGACGGCGCGAGCAGGUGCGAAAGCAGGUCAUAGUGAUCCGGUGGUUCUGAAUGGAAGGGCCAUCGCUCAACGGAUAAAAGGUACUCCGGGGAUAACAGGCUGAUACCGCCCAAGAGUUCAUAUCGACGGCGGUGUUUGGCACCUCGAUGUCGGCUCAUCACAUCCUGGGGCUGAAGUAGGUCCCAAGGGUAUGGCUGUUCGCCAUUUAAAGUGGUACGCGAGCUGGGUUUAGAACGUCGUGAGACAGUUCGGUCCCUAUCUGCCGUGGGCGCUGGAGAAUUGAGGGGGGCUGCUCCUAGUACGAGAGGACCGGAGUGGACGCAUCACUGGUGUUCGGGUUGUCAUGCCAAUGGCAUUGCCCGGUAGCUACAUGCGGAAGAGAUAAGUGCUGAAAGCAUCUAAGCACGAAACUUGCCCC
rnacentral:rRNA from 1 species